ACCAAAUAAAAAACCACCAAAAAAAUUUCAUUUCCCUCUCAAUAUUCUUCACAUUCUUCCUCUCUAUCUCACCAAAAAAAUUUCAUUUCCCAUACUCGGAAACCCCCAAACCCCAGACACAGAAUCCCCAAUUGAGAGACCCAUACCCAAACCACAGUUAUAUAAGGAGUUGUUCUCUCUCCCUACGCCUCUCCUCUCCUCUGCAAUAUCCCUCUCCCUACGCCGAGCUAGCCUCCUCUGCAAUCUCUCUCCCUACGCUUGUCCUCUCCUCUGCAAUCUGCAAUCCAACUCAAACCAGGCGAACCAGAUGCGAACCACGAGCUGAUCUCCUAAAGCCGAGUUGAGCCCAGAUGCCUCUUCCCUCCCUAAAGUCGAUCCCAGAUGCCUCUUCUCCCCUAAAGUAGAGCCGAGAUGAUCUCCUAGCUUGAACCCAAACUGGCGUUCAACUCAACUCCAUUCUUGAACCCAAACCCAACGCCAAGCCUGUUCACAUCUCGUACAUAUAUAUAUAUUGUUUAUAUAUAUAUAUAUAUUAUGAGUCUCUGUAUUGGGAAUUAGAACUGACACAAUUGAGUCUACUUUGUGCUAACUCCUCCUAUAUCUAUCUUUUUCAAUCACAAGCUGCCUGGAUUCGCAUGAUCGAGGAGGUCCUCAGAUUUGCUACAAUCGAUUUGGAGGAGAAGAAACUAAAGCAGUUGGUGGAUUUUGGAUGUAGGAUUGGAGGGAGCUCUGGCUUCUACUCAUGGAUUGACCCCAAAUAAAAGGCGUGGGGUUCGCGGCAUCUCGGCUGUGGGUGGGUUCUCGGCAGUGAGGUUUGGGAUGUGUUGAUGAAUGGUCUGCGAUUUGCCUCUUCUUUCAGAAUUAACAUUAUCCUUGUUUGAAGACUUGAGAUGUUUUUGUUGCACUGUUAUUUGUUUCAAUCAAAAUAAUGGGCAUGCUUGCCUCUAUCUAUGCUUUGCUUUCUCUUUUGUUUCAACAAACGGUUAGAAACUUAUCUUUAUUUAUUAACAGGAAAUAUUAAUGAAAGUUCUUUCUUAUAAACCUUUAUAGGGAA